rnacentral:rRNA from 1 species
CGUGUAGGUGGAUUUUCAAGUCGAAUGUGAAAACCGGCGGCUUAACUGCCGGCCUGCAUUUGAUACUGUUAAUCUUGAGUACGGAAGAGGGAAGUGGAAUUCCAGGUGUAGCGGUGACAUGCGUAGAUAUCUGGAAGAACACCGGUGGCGAAGGCGGCUUCCUGGUCCGAUACUGACACUAAGGCGCGAAAGCUAGGGGAGCAAACA